GUAGUACUCCCUCCGUCCGGAAAUACUUGUCAUCAAAAUGAAUAAAAGGGAUGUAUCUAGAUGUAUAUUAGUUCUAGAUACAUCUUUUUUAUCCAUUUUGAUGACAAGUAUUUUCGGACGGAGGGAGUACUUG
rnacentral:pre_miRNA from 1 species